GACGAACGCUGGCGGCGUGCCUAAUACAUGCAAGUCGAACGCAGUGGGGACGGGUGAGUAACACGUGGGUAACCUCCCAUCAGAGGGGAUAACACUUGGAAACAGGUGCUAAACCGAUACUGAUGGAUGGACCCGCGGUGCAUUAUCUAGUUGGUGAGGUAACGGCUCACCAAGGCAACGAUGCAUAGAUGGCCUGUGAGGAUGGUCGGCCACAGCGGUAAUCAGACACGGCCCAGACUCUGACGUGAGGCAGCCGUAGGGAAUCUUCGGCAAUGGACGAAAGUCUGACUGAGCAACGCCGCGUGUGUGAAGAAGGUUUGCGGAUCGUAAAACUCUUUUGUUAGAGAAGCGUUAUCUACCCAGAAAGCCACGGCUAACUACGUGCCAGCCGCCGCGGUAAUAC
rnacentral:rRNA from 1 species